rnacentral:rRNA from 1 species
CCUACGGGAGGCAGCAGUGGGGGAUAUUGGACAAUGGGCGGAACCCUGAUCCAGCGACGCCGCGUGAGUGAAGAAGUAUCUCCGUAUGUAAAGCUCUAUCAGCAGGGAAGAAGAACUCACGGUACCUGCGUCCUCAGCCCCGGCUAACUACGUGCCAUCAGCCGCGGCUAUACGUAGGGGGCAAGCGUUAUCCGGGAUUACUGGGUGUAAAGGGUGCGUUGGCGGUGAGGUAAGUCUGGAGUGAAACGCGGGGGCCCAACCCCCGGACUGCUCUGGAAACUAUGUGACUGGAGUGCAGGAGAGGUGAGCGGAAUGCCUGGUGUAGCGGUGAAAUGCGUAGAUAUUAGGAGGAACACCAGUGGCGAAGGCGGCGCACUGGACUGUAACUGACGUUGAGGCUCGAAAGCGUGGGGAUCAAACAGGAUUAGAUACCCCUGUAGUC